rnacentral:rRNA from 1 species
CAGCAGCCGCGGUAAUACCGGCGGCCCGAGUGGCGGUCACUAUUAUUGGGCUUAAAGCGUCCGUAGCCGGGUUGGGAAGUCCUCCGGGAAAUCUGGCCGCUUAACGGUCAGAAUGCCGGAGGAUACUCCCAGCCUAGGGAGCGGGAGAGGCCGAGGGUAUUCCCGGAGUAGGGGGGAAAUCCUAUAAUCCCGGGAGGACCACCUGUGGCGAAGGCGCUCGGCUGGAACGCGUCCGACGGUGAGGGACGAAGGCCAGGGGAGCAAACCGGAUUAGAUACCCGGGUAGUCCUGGCUGUAAACGAUGCGGACUUUGUGUCGGACAAGCUAUGAGCUUGUCCGGUGCCGGAGGGAAACCGUUAAGUCCGCCGCCUGGGGAGUACGGCCGCAAGGCUGAAACUUAAAGGAAUUGGCGGG